rnacentral:rRNA from 1 species
AUUGAACGCUGGCGGCAUGCCUAACACAUGCAAGUCGAGCGGAUGAAGGGAGCUUGCUCCUGGAUUCAGCGGCGGACGGGUGAGUAAUGCCUAUGAAUCUGCCUUGUCGUGGGGGAUAACGUCCGGAAACGGGCGCUAAUACCGCAUACGUCCUGAUGUAGAAAGUGGGGGAUCUUCGGACGUCACGCUAUCUGAUGAGCCUAGGUUGGAUUAGCUAGGUGGAUGGGUAAAGGCCUAGCAAGGCGACGAUCCGUAACUGGUCUGAGAGGAUGAUCAGUCACAUUGGCAGUGAGACACGGCCGCGACUCUUACGGGAGGCAGCAGUCGGGAAUCUUGCGCGAUGGGCGAAAGCCUGAUACAGCAAUGCCGCGUGUGUGAUGAAGGUCUUCGGAUUGUAAAGCAAUGUAAGCUGUGAGGAAGGGCAGUACGUUUAUACGUUGCUAUAUUGACGUUACCAACAGAAUAAGCACCGGCUAACUUCGUG